rnacentral:rRNA from 1 species
AUUGAACGCUGGCGGCGGGCCUAACACAUGCAAGUCGAGCGAGAGGCGGACGGGUGAGUAAUGUCUGGGAAACUGCCUGAUGGAGGGGGAUAACUCCUGGAAACGGUAGAUAAUACCGCAUACCAGCAGGUGUGCCCAGAUGGGAUUCGCUAGUAGGUGGGGUAAGGGCUCACCUAGGCGACGAUCCCUAGCUGGUCUGAGAGGAUGACCGGCCACACUGGAACUGAGACACGGUCCAGACUCCUACGGGAGGCAGCAGUGGGGAAUAUUGCACAAUGGGCGCAAGCCUGAUGCAGCCAUGCCGCGUGGAGGAAGAAGGCCUUCGGGUUGUAAAGCACUUUCAGCGGGGAGGCGUUACUCGCAGAAGAAGCACCGGCUAACUCCGUGCCAGCAGCCGCGGUAAUUC